UUUAAAUAUUAUAUUAUAAAUAAUAAUAUUUACCUAUACAUAAUAUGUUUAUGAAUUAUUAUAACGCAUCAGUUUAAAAAAAAAAAAAAAAAAAAAAAAAAAAAAACAACUUGACAAGUUGUCACGUAUUAUAAUUAUAUUAUAUAUUAAGUUUAUUUUUUUUUUCAUUUUAUUAUAUUAUAUAUGUAUUUUUUUACGCAGUACAAAAUCAAAACAUUUAACUGAGGCCAAUUAUUAAUAACGUUUAAGGAUCGACUGUGUAUAUAAGAAGAAAACAAUUCUAAUCUAUGUAUUAAAAUAUAUUAUAUAUAUUACUGUAAUCAUAAUUGAUAAUUAUUAUAUUGUUACGUGUUAAUAUGUAUAAUGAUAUAAUAUACGGCAUUAUAACGAUGUGCAGAAAUAUUUUUAAUAAAGGCUUUUUCGAUGGAUAAAAAAAAAA